CACGUAGGCACCAAGCGUUGUCCGGAUUUAUUGGGCGUAAAGAGCUCGUAGGCGGUUCAGUAAGUCAGGUGUGAAAUCUUUGGGCUUAACCCAAAGCGUGCAUUUGAUACUGCUGUGACUUGAGUUCGGUAGGGGAGUGGGGAAUUCCUAGUGUAGCGGUUAAAUGCGCAGAUAUUAGGAGGAACACCGGUGGCGAAGGCGCCACUCUGGGCCGAAACUGACGCUGAGGAGCGAAAGCGUGGGGAGCAAACAGG
rnacentral:rRNA from 1 species